rnacentral:rRNA from 1 species
CAGGUCUUGACAUCCCUUGCAAAGCUAUAGAGAUAUAGUAGAGGUUAUCAAGGAGACAGGUGGUGCAUGGUUGUCGUCAGCUCGUGUCGUGAGAUGUUGGGUUAAGUCCCGCAACGAGCGCAACCCUUAUUGCUAGUUACCAUCAUUAAGUUGGGGACUCUAGCGAGACUGCCAGUGAUAAACUGGAGGAAGGUGGGGAUGACGUCAAAUCAUCAUGCCCCUUAUGACCUGGGCUACAAACGUGAUACAAUGGCUGAAACAAAGGGCAGCGAAGCAGUGAUGUGGAGCGAAACCCAAAAAAGCAGUCUCAGUUCGGAUUGAAGUCUGCAACUCGACUUCAUGAAGUCGGAAUCGCUAGUAAUCGCGGAUCAGAACGCCGCGGUGAAUACGUUCUC